rnacentral:rRNA from 1 species
GACGAACGCUGGCGGCGUGCCUAAUACAUGCAAGUCGAGCGGACUGAUUAAGAGCUUGCUCUUAUGACGUUAGCGGCGGACGGGUGAGUAACACGUGGGCAACCUGCCCUGUAGAUCGGGAUAACACCGAGAAAUCGGUGCUAAUACCGGGUAAUAUCUGAGAUCACAUGAUCUUAGGUUAAAAGAUGGCUCCGGCUAUCACUACAGGCUGGGCCCGCGGCGCAUUAGCUAGUUGGUAAGGUAAUGGCUUACCAAGGCGACGAUGCGUAGCCGACCUGAGAGGGUGAUCGGCCACACUGGGACUGAGACACGGCCCAGACUCCUACGGGAGGCAGCAGUAGGGAAUCUUCCGCAAUGGACGAAAGUCUGACGGAGCAACGCCGCGUGAGUGAUGAAGGGUUUCGGCUCGUAGAGCUCUGUUGUUAGGGAAGAAACAGUACCGAACGAACUAGGUCGGUACCUUGACGGUACCUAACCAGAAAGCCACGGCUAACUACGUG